AGCUUCACCAAAAAACACCAAGGACAGUAUUCUAGCACUGUACAUUUAGCUCUGGGUUUUAAGCUCUGGCUUGUUUUAGUUGUGAAAUAGGUUUUUCCCUCCUGUGAGCACAGCCUGUGAAAGGCAGUGCCUGUCCAGGGCAAGGAGCUGUGUAGUGUAAUGCACUGGUCCAUUCUUUGGGUCUCUUCUGGGGGCUCCAGUAUUCCCUCUGCGCCCACCAUCAUGCAGACAAGAUCAUCCAUCAUCUGUGAGAUCUCUGCUUUCCUUUUCCUCCUUGGAUCCCUGCAGCGAUGCCAUUUUGGGGGCCCCCGAGCGGGAAGAGCAGGGACCCAAGCAAACCCUGGCUGCCAGGAUGGGCUGCCCACUUCUGGGCAAACCCUCAGAGAAAAACCCCUGUAGAAGUAUCACCAGUGGAAGCACUGUUUGCUCGUUACUUUGUGGGAGACUAU